AUUGAACGCUGGCGGCAGGCCUAACACGUGCAAGUCGAGCGGGGUUUUCGGACCUAGCGGCGGACGGGUGAGUAAUGCGUAGGAAGCUACCCGAUAGAGGGGGAUACCAGUUGGAAACGACUGUUAAUACCGCAUAAUGUCUACGGACCAAAGUGUGGGACCUUCGGGCCACAUGCUAUCGGAUGCGCCUACGUGGGAUUAGCUAGUUGGUGAGAUAAUGGCUCACCAAGGCGACGAUCCCUAGCUGGUUUGAGAGGAUGAUCAGCCACACUGGAACUGAGACACGGUCCAGACUCCUACGGGAGGCAGCAGUGGGGAAUAUUGGACAAUGGGCGCAAGCCUGAUCCAGCCAUGCCGCGUGUGUGAAGAAGGCCUUCGGGUUGUAAAGCACUUUCAGUAGGGAGGAAGCGUUGUGUGUUAAUAGUACACAGCGUUGACGUUACCUACAGAAGAAGCACCGGCUAACUCUGUGCCAGCCGCCGCAGUAAUAC
rnacentral:rRNA from 1 species